rnacentral:rRNA from 1 species
CAAUAGCGUAUAUUUAAGUUGUUGCAGUUAAAAAGCUCGUAGUCGGAUUUUGGCUGAGAACGAUCGGUCCGCCGUUAGGUGUGCACUGAUUGGUCUCAGCUUCCUGGUGAGGAGGUGUGCUUCACGGCCACUUAGUCACCGUGGUUACUUUGAAGAAAUUAGAGUGUUCAAAGCGGGCUUACGCUUGAAUAUAUUAGCAUGGAAUAACACCAUAGGACUCCUGUCCUAUUUCGUUGGUCACGGGACGGGAGUAAUGAUUAAGAGGAACAGUUGGGGGCAUUCGUAUUUCAUUGUCAGAGGUGAAAUUCUUGGAUUUAUGAAAGACGAACUUCUGCGAAAGCAUUUGCCAAGGAUGUUUUCAUUGA